rnacentral:rRNA from 1 species
GACGUAGGGGGCGAGCGUUGUCCGGAUUUAUUGGGCGUAAAGCGUGCGUAGGCGGCUGCGCAAGUCGGGUGUGAAACCCCGGGGCUCAACCCCGGAACUGCAUCCGAUACUGCGUGGCUAGAGGUAGGUAGGGGAGAUCGGAAUUACUGGUGUAGCGGUGAAAUGCGCAGAUAUCAGGAGGAACACCGGUGGCGAAGGCGGAUCUCUGGGCCUUACCUGACGCUCAGGCACGAAAGCUAGGGGAGCGAACAGG